rnacentral:lncRNA from 1 species
UUAUAUAUAUAUACCUAUAUUAGAUUUUAAUAUAUGUAUCUAUAUAUAUCUAUAAUUAUAUAUUACUAUAUGCGUUUGUUUUUUAUAUAUAUGUAUAUAUUUUUGUACGUAUAUCAUUUUUUUACUCUGUUUGUUUUUCUUUAAAAAAAUAUAUAUUAUUUUAAUACCUUUUUUGUGGUUAAAAAAAAAAACUAGCUGGCCAGGCCGAGCCAAAGGCUCAGCCCAGCCAGCACUACGUGCUCCCAACCGAGCCAUGCACCAGCACCAAGUACCAGCACCGCAUGUGCCCCAACCGAGCCCAGCUCCCUGUUUCCCACGUGCCCCAGGUGGCCAGGCUCCACCGAGCCCUUCUCCCAGCGUUGGUCAAGGGUACGCUCCAGGCAGGUGGCAGCCCCACCGCAUGAGCCAGUGCCCACAGCCGCAUCGCCCAUUGGCCCCUGCUCCUAGCGCCAGGAGCACUGCCACCAGGGGGGGCCUGCAGCUCACGUGAUCUUUCCCGAGACCGUGCACGAGCAGGACUUCUCGCGAGCAGCCCCAGGCCCCACCGUUCCAGCGCCAGAGGAUUUCAUACCGAGUCCUUUUUGUGCUUCAGGAACUAAACCGAACCAGGAAUGAGCUUUGUUUUGCAAGGGCUUUUUAUUUCUCCACGUGAUCGGAAAGUCUCUGUUUAGAUUCGUUUUCUCCACAAUCCCAAUCUUUUGCUGCUUCAAUUUCGACCAUCACCGGAGCAACACCGGAAUUCAUCCGUGUUCACCGGAGUUUAUCCGUGUUCGUUGGAGUUCGCGGAGCCGCCGUCACCGGAGUCCGUUCGACUGUCACCGGAGCAUCAUCGGAGGAGCCACACCGAGACGGUUCCGUUUUUCCCCGCUGUUCGUGGUGAGAACGCACACACGAGCCGAUUCAUCAAACCCCGAUGAACAGCUUCAGGACGAAAUAAAAUCUCUUUUUAAUCUGUUUUUAGCUCUGUUAGAUUCUUGGUAUAAUUUUGAAACGCGUUUAUCUUUUUACUCGUAACUCCGAUUCAGGAAAUUCUUUUUCCUGUGAUCUCGUAUUGAUGAGUAGAACAUGUUAGAACCAGUAGUUUUCAGUUUUACGAAAAUUAAUUUUUUUGUUAAAACAGAUUAUUUUAAACCUACCGGAGGCCACAUUUUGCAAACCGUUCAUCCGGUUUAGUUGAUUCCUUUUGCGUUGUCAUCGUAUCAGCAUGUAGAUGAUUUUAUAUCUGCUGCCAUGCUAUUUAUGCUUUGGUUUUAAACAAGUUGUUUUAUUGCCGAUGAUUUUAUUUGGUGUUAUUUGAUUGUGGUGAUUGAUUGGUAUGAUUGUUUGCAACGUGUAGAUUGUGCGGAGUGCGACGCAAACUAUUGUCAGGAGUGUGACCUUCUGAACCAGAAUCAAGGCAAGUUACAUGUUGAUCAUCCUUUACCUAUUAUUUUUCUAUGCAUGUAGUAUUAUAUCACCCUAUGAGAAUUAUGCAUGUAUAGGAAGAUUAUUAUUGCUAUGCUAUUGAGCUAUAUCCCCUCGUCAUUGAAGAUCGUGUUAGAUAUAUUUUGCUAUGCUAUGUAGACGGGGAUUGGUUUCUGUAUUCAUUGAGUUUAUGUGAGGAUUACUACAAAAUAAAUUGAGUAGUAAUUCAGGAUAUAAUACACCUCUGGGCGGAUAUGGUAUUGCUGGGUGGUUUCAAGAACAUCAUGGUUUCUACCCUCUGAAUGUAAGUGGAAUGCCGCCCAGGUUCAAAAAGAUCAAACAGACUUAGUGACUAGUAGCUUCCUUGUGCGACCACUGGCUAUUAUGGGCUCUGGCUUAGUUGAUCAGUCGUGGAAACCUUACUCGGAUGUGCCAGCUGAUGUAGCUAUGAUAGGUGGGAUGGGCCUCCUGUGGGACUAGGUGACUGCUUCUGAAAGACUUCGUCUCAAUCUUCGGGUUGGGUCCAGUGGGUACAGCGUACUAACCUCUGCAGAGUGUAUAAACUAAUCAUGAUUAGCCGUGUCCCCGGUUAUGGACAAUUUUGAGCAGCUAGGCCAUUAUAGUUGUUGGAUGAUCUUGACAGAUGACACACGUAAUAAAACUUGAUGGGAAACUUAAUGAUGGUAAUAGGUUGGAGUUGGAGAUGCCAAUUCAACCAUAUGUGAAUUAUUGUAGCAAACAAAUUAAAACUUGACUAUUAGGUAGCUAUGAGGAUAAAAUCAGCUUUCUGCAAAAUAACCAUCAGCCUUUCUCUUGUUAUACUAUGCAUAUACAUGUAGGUUUGUUAUAUUAUCUUUUCCUGUGUAACUUGCCAAUAAAUUCAAAGUAUUGACCUAUAUGGCUGCAACGUAUCAUGUUGCAGGAUAUUCAGACGAGGAGUAAGGUACCGUUAGGGUCGCGAGUCUUCACUCAACAUCGUCAGUGGGCUAUGAUGGGAGUCAUCGUUAUUAUUCUGCUACUUUUCCGCUGUUUAUUAGUAUAAAGCUAGCUAAGUGCUAUGCAGAUUGUUAUAUUUUAUAAAUUCUGGAUCAUACGUUAUUAUAAAUGAUGCACUUGCUAUAUCUGGUUUUCAUCUAUACUGUGUGUGCUAGCGAGUCGAUCCAGGGACUAGCACAGUAAAGCACAGAGACUCAAAUCCUUUGAGGUUUGGUCGUUACACCAGUGGUAUCAGAGCACAGGUGUCCGGAACAAAUCUCGGUGAACUCACGCGUGGUCGGUCAUGGUAGGUGGCCUGGAACGCUGGUGUUAGCGGGCCCAUGGGUGACCGAUGUGUGAGGGGGAGAUUGUUGGGUUUAGUCCCAUAUCGGUUGUGGGAGGAGAUAUAACACGACUUAUAAGGGUGAGGGUGUCCCCUCCUAACAGGCUAGUCUUUUGGGGGGAGAGGGCCCAAGGCCUGUCAUAAGUCGGUGUUGCUCUCCGGUUGGGCCCGUUGACGCAUGUGGGUCGGAAACGCUGGUGUUAGCGGAUCCGGGAUUGCGUAACGAAGAGGACAUCACAAUUUAACAGUGGAAAUCAUGAUCACAUAAUUAUUUUGUGGUCUACUCAUGAUUAAACGAACUGGUAAAUGAUUCCUAAAUGGUCUUCUCAACACAUAUCCCAUGAUCACAAUAUAUUUGUUUCAUAAGAAGAUCUAACAAAGAUUGGAGGUGUAAGACUAACGAAUUUACUUAGAUUUCGUGCACCUGAGGCCCAUGUGCUCUUUGCAUUAAAUAAAAUAUUGUCACAAAAACAAGCCUUUUGUUUCUGUUGACAUUAUUCAGAACUGUAAGGAAGUUGAUUUCUGCAAGGCUCAUGUGCUAUUUUUAUUCACAAAAAACUUGUGUAACCAAUGGAGCAAAUGCUUUUAUCCCUGAGGCAAUAAUGAUGUUAAGACUGCCAGCCUAUUGCAAGAUAAGAAACCAUCGAAGAGCAAAAUAAGAAGAAAUGACCAUUUAUUAUUCAGUACCGAUGGACAUUUAUACAUCAACGGUCAUUUACUAUAAAAAAGUUCACAUCUUAUGCAUUGCUUUAUCCAAUGUUUUCUUCUAGGUUUGUUUCUAUUAUAUACUUAUCUUGAAACUUAGCUAAAAUAUUACCAAAUUUCCAUCCACGCAAUUGCUUCAUAUUGCAAGAGAACUCUUUAUUUUUAUUUUCCAGUGAAGUGAUGGUAAGUAAUACCAAAUCUAGUGUAACAUGCAUAAUAAGUUCUUCAACUACGUGAAGGUUGGUUACUUUGGAUCAUUCCUAUCCUGUUUGCAAAUGCAUUUGCCUCUCAACUACUCACUCAUUAGGAACUUCUAUCCAUUCUUUUAAUGUGAGUUCCCUCCAACCAAGUACACAUUUCCCUUCACUUAAUUUUUGGCAAAAAUCAGAUACUAAGGAUGCAAGUAAAAUGGUCACACCAUUCUGGAGUCCAGUCGCAUGCUAGAAAUGUGAAGACAAACGAUUCCUGAAUGGUAAAUCACAUGCUCACGCCAUAUUUGUUUCAUGGUAAAAUGGCAUAGAUUAGAGAUGUGUAGAAAUCUUAUAUAUACCCCUACCCUAGUUGUUAAAGUUAGUGUGGUAUGAGUUCAGAUUUGUUUGCAUCUUUAACUUUAGUCCAUCUAAGAUAUUGGAAGAAAACAAAAGCAUGAUAGAUAAGGGGGUGAACGAAUAUUGUUGCUAUGCGGGUAGUAUGGCAAUUGUUCCUUAGUUUUAUAAAGUUUCCUCUCCUUCGUUUCAAUCAUCAUUAAAUAUAUACAUGCAUGUGUGGAGGUCUUGCUUUGUAUUAACUUUUCCCAUGUAUGUGUCCAACGACGUGCUCAUACUUAACGACUUGAAGAAAUCCUUAUCUCAUAGAACACCUUAAAUCCAGCGACUCGUAUGGUCAUACCUUCGUUCUGACAGGCCGUACACUAGUGCAGAAUGGUGCUAGUGAGCCUAGCUCAUGGGAACAAGGAGGACCGGGAUAUGGACAAUGAAGGGCCUGACAGCUAGAUAGACACGAAAGACGAGUGAGCCAUAAGAAGAUCAUCUUCUGCACUAGGUGUACGGACUCGACGGAAUUGUCAUGCCUGUGACAUAUCGAUGAAAGGGGCAAGUGCAUCUCUAAGAGAGUGGGUGUGUGCGUUUAAAAGAGGCAAGUGCCAUCCCUGUAACAUAUCAAUGAAAUGAGAAUUACGCGAACUCUCACCUAUACUGUUCUGCAUCACAACCUCCUCCUCAUCCUUCUCAUUGCCCACUCCCAAAUUAUCCCCUUGGAUCCUGUGAUUCCUCUACCACCACUAGCGGGUCAUCACAGUUUGACAAUGACAAUUGUGGUAAUUUUUCUCUUUGUGAGCACUCGCAAACAAUUGAUGUAGACACAAAUCUGUGACAUAAUUGAUAUUUUCUAGAUCAUUAUUGAAAAGGCUUGAGUUGGAAAGAGGCCCUUUUGCUUCUUUAUUUCACAUAUUAUGCGAGUUGUAACUUCUUUUGAGAGAAGAGAUAGGUUUAUUGGAUAAAAACGACCAUUGUUUAUUCUUUUUUUUUAGGAUCAUUGUUUAUUCAUAAAUGUAGAGUUGUACGUAGAUUCCUGUACAGCUCAGGCUCAAGUGCUCUUUUUAUUGGCAUAAACUCGCGUACAAAAUCGAGUAAAUGACAUUUUUUUUCCUGGAAAGAGCAUAUCUAAGAAGAUAGAAAAGAAGUUGAAAAGGGCCAUUUAUUCAGAACUGAAUGGAUUUUUUACAUGAACAGUUGUUUACUAUUGGCAGUUUCCCAUACCCCCACUUUCUCCAGUGGUUAUUUGUUAUGACAUGCUAACCUUAAAAGGCACCCGGAAACUUAGCUAAAAUAAGUAAAUGGUAUUUCACACAUUUUUCAUCAUGCAAUAGACUUGGAAAGUUGUCUGUUAUUUUACUUCCCAAUCAGUAUGAUUGAAACUACACGAUGCAAACUACAAGAAGUUGCAAAUGCAUUUUGUCGUUCCACCACUCACUCAUUUAGUAACUUUUCCGCAGUUUUCAAAUGCGAGUUCCCUAAGAUAUCAGAAACUAAACAUGCAAGUAGAGUGGUCACAUGCUAAAAAUGUCAUGACAAACAAUUCUUGAAUGAUAAACCACAUGUUCACAAUAUAUUUGUUUCACAAGAAGAGCUAGCAAAGACCACAUAUGUGUACAAGUCUUAUAUAUAUACCUAUGCCUUAGUUACAAUUUCAACGUGACUGCGAUCUGAAUUCAUGUUUGUUUAUGUGUCUAGAUUAAGUCCAUCUAAAAUAUUGGAGGAAAUCAAAAGUUGAAGGAUCACCACAUGAUGCAUAAGUAGAUGUGGGGUGUCGUUGAAGGAUCACAGUACCAAGACCAAGGAAGUAGCCUAACGCACUGCACCAGCAUGCAUACCGAACCUCACGACACAACCCAGGAGCAACCACAAGUCAUGGGCUAUCCGAAGUGGCCAAGGACGAAACCGACAUUGGGUCCCCGACACGUCCUACCAGGCUGGGAGUCACCUAGCCGGGACACCAUCACUUAUUCCGACAAUUCCUAAUUUCCUAAAGAAUGACCCAAACUCACACAUAGAUUUGCCCCGUCAUAUUAUGGUGAAUCCAAACAAAUUUGGUAUACUUGUAGAUAGUGAUACAUUGUAAAUCCUGAAUUGUGCGCCAAAUCAAGGCGGCGAAUGGGCAAGACAUGAAUAAAUGAUGGAAUGUUUACUCUUGAUCACAAUUUCUUUUGUUACCCUGCCAAUUACAUUUUCUAGGAUUAUCCUUGGUAAGAACUACCUUCCUAUAUAGAGUAUUUAACCAAAAACUACCAUAUUUCGUUGAUCUGUGCCUACAAACUGUCACUUUACAAAUUUGUGCUAAAAACUCUCUCGAAACAGGCUCCCGUCCCGCUUUAUAUAUAAAGCAACAACACAAAGGAUACAUGACCGAACGAUACAGUGUGUUGAUGUAGUCCUUUGAGACAGCAGAUGCAAACAUAAACAUGCACGAUUAUGUUGCCGAUACACUAGCAUAGAACUAACCGAU